GAAAAUUAAUUCAUUGAGUCCGAGGUUUCUUGGCCACUGCUGAUGUGAUGUGAUUUUAUGGGCUGUUAUCUGAUUCUUGCAGUGGGGCUUGAGUAAGUCGCUGUCUUUUCAGGGAUCACUCAACAAAAUAACACUGCAGAGCAUUCGAGACAGACUCUGACAGUGCUGACUCUGAUGAAAUGGACUGCCCAGAUUUUCUCGGCAUGAGAUGCCAAUGCGACAUACAAGAAGACAUCAAACUGGAGAUGUCUUCACAUCCUCACAGCAUGAGACAAGUGGUGAACAUCAUCAUUGCUGUGGAAAGACUGAAGCACAUCAAAGAAAUCUCUCCUGGCAAGAUUUGUGAAGAUUCGCUGCUCAGCUUCUUCUUGGAGAAUGUGAUCGAAGGUACCAUUAGCAAACUUUUAUGCAACUGAAACUGGCUUCUGGUGGUUUGAUAGCUGGUCAAGAUGGUUAGAGCUGGAAGGACCACCUUAACCAUAAUGUUAUGUUGCUGGUCAGUUUGACCCAGAUUGUCAGA